GGGAGCCCCGAGCCUCUCCCGCUAUACACACCACCCACUCCACCCCUUUUGCCUCUCAGAGGACCCAUGGUAUGAAGCCUUGCUUCGUUCCCUCUCAGGCCGACAAGGUGGUGUCGGAACUCGUCGUCCGGCCGCUCGACGUGGACGAGGCUGCCGCCACUCCUCCGACCUUUCUCUCUGUUACCUUCGACGCUGAUAUCUCCCUCUAGUUGAACCGCCCCUUUUUCGUUUCCAGGAACCCGCCGGGAGGUCGCCUUCGAUGGAGCUCCGUCCGACCCAACGCCGAGCUCGUCUCCGCCUAGGUCGACGUCCAGGAGCGAGCUCGCGCGUCAGAGACGGCUUGAGCGUGCUGCUUCAUCCUGCGUUCGUCCUGGCGUCGUCGCCCUUGUCUCCGGGCAUCACCGUGAGCCACCCGGAGCUGCCGCCGUCUCCCAGCAUCCGGGAGCAUCGUCGGAGAAGCUCCCGCUCGUCCGUGUCGUCGCCUCGAGGUCGCAUCAGAUGGUCGCCGCCGUCGAAGUUCUGUUCGUGCCGGUCUGUCUCGGCACCGCGCAUGUUCCCGUCCGUGUCGACGUCUCCAGAACAUCUAAAACUCUCCGCUGGGCCGCCCUAGUCCACCUCGCCAUCCUCUCGCAGUCCCCGUUGAGCUCCGGCCGUCCCAGAAUGCGACCACUAUCGGAGAAGAGGGAGAGGACAUUGGUGAGGAUUUCGAAGAGGAAGGAAGAGCAGAUGGUUCGUGAAGAUGAAGUCCAGGGACAAAUAGCCAACCAAGGCAAGCCACCUCUUGAU